rnacentral:rRNA from 1 species
CCCUUAGAUGUUCUGGGCGGCCCGCGCACUACAUUGGCACUCUCAAUAAGUUCCUAGAUCUAAAACUUUGGGGUAUUCUAUUAAGUGGUGUCGUGACUGGGAUUAACCCUUGCAAUUAUUGGUUACGAACGAGGAAUUCCUUGUAAUCGCGGUUUAUCAGCCCGCGUUGAAUGCGUCCCUGCCCUUUGUACACACCGCCCGUCGCUCCUACCGAUGAAUCGUCCGGUGAAGUUCAUGGAGUGGUGGUUGUUCCAGCUGCUGUCGAAGUGAAAUGGACCUCACGAUUUAGAGGAAGGAGAAGGCGGAACA